UGGGGAAUAUUGCACAAUGGGCGCAAGCCUGAUGCAGCAACGCCGCGUGAGCGAAGAAGGCCUUCGGUCGUAAAGCUCUGUCCUAGGGGAAGAAGAAGUGACGGUACCCAAGGAGGAAGCCCCGGCUAACUACGUGCCAGCAGCCGCGGUAAUACGUAGGGGGCGAGCGUUAUCCGGAAUUAUUGGGCGUAAAGAGUACGUAGGUGGUUUUGUAAGCGCGGGGUGAAAGGCAGUGGCUUAACCAUUGUUAGCCUUGCGAACUGCAAGACUUGAGUGCAGGAGAGGGAAGCGGAAUUCCUAGUGUAGCGGUGAAAUGCGUAGAUAUUAGGAGGAACACCAGUGGCGAAGGCGGCUUUCUGGACUGUAACUGACACUGAGGUACGAAAGCGUGGGGAGCAAACAGGAUUAGAUACC
rnacentral:rRNA from 1 species